rnacentral:pre_miRNA from 1 species
GAUAUACUUUCUCUGUUCAAAAUUACUUGUCACAAAAAUAGAUGUAUUUAGAUGAGUUUUAGUUGUAGAUACAUCAAUUUUUAUUUUUUUUGCGAUAAGUAUUUUUGGACGAAGGAAGUAUAUA